rnacentral:tRNA from 1 species
GGGCCAGUAGCUCAGUCGGUAGAGCAGGCGCCUCUUAAGCGCAAGGUCUUGAGUUCGAUCCUCAACUGGCCCACCA